UCUUCAAUUUAUAUUAUCUCCUCACUGCCAGUGCUCAGGCUAGCUCGAAGCUAAUGACUUCUCUGGCAGUCUACCUGAGAAAAUAUGUGAUAAUUUAUCCCCAUCUAGAACAUUCUCAGUAGUUAUAAGUAGGCUUCAUGGACAAACUCCAGCAAAUUUAUACAAGUUCAUGAGGCCAGAUAGCUAUCACUAACUGUUCACUUCACUUGAAUGGAAUGAUUUUGGGCUGAAUGGAAUGAUCAUUCCGGGCUGAAUGAAGAAUUGUGUUGUUUGGUUGUACCACUUGAAUGGAAUGAGCUAUCCUGAGUCCAUUCUAUUUGGGCCAAAUAUUAAACAACUCAUUCCUUUUAAAACACCCGGGACAGAUUCAUUCCUUCGAAUUGAAACGUCGCCUUCCUCUCUGACCUAGCGAUCGGAUGCUAUCUCUCGGCGAACAGCUCUCCUCUCUCUCCCAAUUAGCGCUCCAGCACUCUGUCUCUCUCGAUUAGCUCUCUCUCGAUUAGCUCUCUCUCUCUCUCCCCUCUCUCCCAAUUAGCGCUCCAGCACUCUGGGGUUGCGCGGAAUGCACUGCUUAAGUUAAUUCAUGAAAAUUCCUCUUCCAUGCGCAGCAAUCUGUAUGGCAGGAAGAUAAUUGCAUGUCUGGAGAAGACAAAGAAUAACGCGUUGUGGACACUGAACUGUUGAAGGAGUCUUCAGAUUAGUUGUGCUGUUGAAAAAUCUGAAAAUAACUUUGAUGUUCUGUUGUUUUUAAUGGUCAAGUAGCGAAACUUUGGUGUGUAGUUGAAAUAGGUGCCUUGUAUUAAUAUCGUAAAUUUUGAUGGGUGCUUAUAUGAGACUUGUCAAUUUUUAUUUUA